rnacentral:rRNA from 1 species
CCUGCCAGACCUGACUGCUAUCGGAUUGAUACUAAGCCAUGCGAGUCAUUGUAGCAAUACAAGGCAUACGGCUCAGUAACGCGUAGUCAACCUAACCUAUGGACGGGAAUAACCUCGGGAAACUGAGAAUAAUGCCCGAUAGAACAUUAUGCCUGGAAUGGUUUAUGUUCCAAAUGAUUUAUCGCCGUAGGAUGGGACUGCGGCCUAUCAGUUUGUUGGUGAGGUAAUGGCCCACCAAGACUAUUACAGGUACGGGCUCUGAGAGGAGUAGCCCGGAGAUGGGUACUGAGACACGGACCCAGGCCCUAUGGGGCGCAGCAGGCGAGAAAACUUUGCAAUGUGCGAAAGCACGACAAGGUUAAUCCGAGUGAUUUCUGCUAAAGAGAUCUUUUGUUAGUCCUAGAACCACUAACGAAUAAGGGGUGGGCAAGUUCUGGUGUCAGCCGCCGCGGUAAAACCAGCACCUCAAGUGGUCAGGAUGAUUAUUGGGCCUAAAGCAUCCGUAGCCGGCUCUGUAAGUUUUCGGUUAAAUCUGUACGCUUAACGUACAGGCUGCCGGGAAUACUGCAGAGCUAGGGAGUGGGAGAGGUAGACGGUACUCGAUAGGAAGUGGUAAAAUGCUUUGAUCUAUCGAUGACCACCUGUGGCGAAGGCGGUCUACCAGAACACGUCCGACGGUGAGGGAUGAAAGCUGGGGGAGCAAACCGGAUUAGAUACCCGGGUAGUCCCAGCUGUAAACUAUGCAAACUCAGUGAUGCAUUGGCUUGUGGCCAAUGCAGUGCUGCAGGGAAGCCGUUAAGUUUGCCGCCUGGGAAGUACGUACGCAAGUAUGAAACUUAAAGGAAUUGGCGGGGGAGCACCACAAGGGGUGAAGCCUGCGGUUCAAUUGGAUUCAACGCCGGG